rnacentral:rRNA from 1 species
CCCUACGGGACGCAGCAGUGGGGAAUAUUGCAUAAUGGGCGAAAGCCUGAUGCAGCAACGCCGCGUGAAGGAAGACGGUUUUCGGAUUGUAAACUUCUAUCACUAGGGAAGAAAGAAAUGACGGUACCUAAAUAAGAAGCCCCGGCUAACUACGUGCCAGCAGCCGCGGUAAUACGUAGGGGGCAAGCGUUAUCCGGAUUUACUGGGUGUAAAGGGAGCGCAGGCGGCGUGGCAAGUC